AGUGAACGCUGGCGGUAGGCCUAACACAUGCAAGUCGAACGGCAGCACAGUAAGAGCUUGCUCUUACGGGUGGCGGGUGGCGGACGGGUGAGGAAUACAUCGGAAUCUACUUUUUCGUGGGGGAUAACGUAGGGAAACUUACGCUAAUACCGCAUACGACCUACGGGUGAAAGCAGGGGAUCUUCGGACCUUGCGCGAUUGAAUGAGCCGAUGUCGGAUUAGCUAGUUGGCGGGGUAAAGGCCCACCAAGGCGACGAUCCGUAGCUGGUCUGAGAGGAUGAUCAGCCACACUGGAACUGAGACACGGUCCAGACUCCUACGGGAGGCAGCAGUGGGGAAUAUUGGACAAUGGGCGCAAGCCUGAUCCAGCCAUACCGCGUGGGUGAAGAAGGCCUUCGGGUUGUAAAGCCCUUUUGUUGGGAAAGAAAAGCAGCAGGUUAAUACCCCGCUGUUCUGACGGUACCCAAAGAAUAAGCGCCGGCUAACUUCGUG
rnacentral:rRNA from 1 species